AGCUAAACCCGACCGUAGUGAAAAACCCACAGCCCGAAGCAUGAGGGCGAGGAUUUGUAACAAAGGGCGGGACGGUCG
rnacentral:sRNA from 1 species